UGUUAAAUUUCAUCCAUUUCAAAUGCUAAAAAUAAGAGUGGCUGAUGGAAUACCCAAAGAAUUACACGAGAUGUGCCACAUGUAAUUCAUGCUGAUGCAUACAGAUCAGUUUUUAACAGUAAAAUGGAUGAAAUUUUUAACA
rnacentral:pre_miRNA from 1 species